rnacentral:rRNA from 1 species
UACGUAGGGACCAAGCGUUGUUCGGAUUUACUGGGCGUAAAGGGCGCGUAGGCGGCAAUUCAAGUCAGUUGUGAAAUCUCCGAGCUUAACUCGGAACGGUCAACUGAUACUGUUUUGCUAGAGUACAGAAGGGGCAAUCGGAAUUCCUGGUGUAGCGGUGAAAUGCGCAGAUAUCAGGAGGAACACCGAUGGCGAAGGCAGGUCUCUGGGCAUUAACUGACGCUGAGGAGCGAAAGCAUGGGGAGCGAACAGG